rnacentral:rRNA from 1 species
UACAGAGGAGCCAAGCGUUGUCCGGAUUGACUGGGCGUAAAGCGCACGCAGGCGGAUGCGCGCGUGGGGUGUGAAAUCUGGCCGCUUAACGGCCAGGCGCCAUCCCAUACGGCGCGUCUGGAGUGAUGCAGAGGUCGAUGGAAUUGCCGGUGUAGUGGUGAAAUGCGUAGAGAUCGGGCAGGAACACCCAGGGGAAACCAGGUCGACUGG